GUGUCCUGCCACACGUCAAAUUCCAGAUUCCUGUAGACGUCGCCAUCGAGAGCCUUCAUGACUUUGUAGGGCAGCGAGAGUCUGUAGGAGGGCGGGGCUUCUCCAGGAGGCUGCGUUUCGACAGGAAGAGUCAGCGGAUGUGACAUCACACAGCCUGUGGCUGCGUCGUUUUUUUCUCUCCAAAUUUUAUUUAUGAUCGUUGAGAAACAUAUAAAACAGUACAUUUAAAUUCAAUUUUGGACCCAUAACUUAUAUUUCUAUUCUCAACAACAAAAUGUGCGGUAAUGGUUGGUUUCUACUUCUGCCUCCAGCACUUGUUUUUAUCUCCACUGCCGUGUUUCUUUUGUUUGGUUGUAAUAAAAAACGUCUGAAUUCUCUCCAUGCUGUGAAUUUGUACAUUUCCACACUGAUUUACAGCAAUUUCUCCAUUCUUGGUCCGUCAUAGUUGUGUUGCUUUCCUUCUCCCAUUUACUUUGAGGUCAUUUUUUACUCAUAAAUCCCUUGUAAAGUCUAGAUAUCAAACCUUUUUUACAUUUUCCUUUGUAUGCUGUUGAUAUUUCACCAAGCACUGGUUCCUGUGUAUCCAUGGUGUGGAGGAUCUUUGUUAAUGUAGUGGCAUAGUUGUAAAUAUCUGUAAAAAUAAUCUUUCCCUAAGUUAUAUUUACCCUCAAGUGUUGAAAAUCUUUCAUUAUUCCCUUGUCGUGUAAAGAGUAAUGUGUUUAACCCUCGCAUUGUCCAGUGGUGAAAUCUAUUGUCUAACUGGUUGGGCUUGAAAUCGUGGUCGUAUGCGAACCAUCUCACAAUUUUUAAGUCAUUGUUUAGUCCUUUAUUUGGGACCAGAUUUUCAAUUGUCUCACUAUCCACAGGUUUUCAACUUUUCCCCUAUGUCUUUGUUUCCCAUGAGCGCCUGUAGUGGGGAGUUUGAGACUAAAAGUAAUUCAAUGUCUUUCCAUUUGAGAUUUCAUUUGCUACGUAGUGGGUCGGUGGAUGAUAAUUUAAAGUCAGUAUUUGGGUUUUCCCCAUGUCUAACUUAUAUCCUGCAUGGUAUCCAAAUGUGUUUAAACGUUCAAAUAAUCUGGGCAACGAUUCAUUUGGUUCACUUGUGUAAAUUAUCACAUCAUGCGUCUCCGUUUUUACCUUCAUCACCUCCUCGGAGCACGGCUUCUCCUCACCUGCUCCGCCAGCCUCCUCCCUGCAAGAGAAAGGCUGAAGAAGAGUCUGGGGGGAGGAGCUACAAGCGUGUGCCGCUGCAUGCAUGUACCUGUGUCCACGGUCAUCAGGUGGGAGAGGGCCUUGAUCUCCACCUGCCCCACUGUUUCCUAGAGAGAUGCACAGAAUGUGAGACGGCAGGAACAAGGCCUGAGCAGCCCAACAGGUGGGGGCGGAGCUCACCUUUGGGUCCUCUAGGCGCUCCAGGUACUUUUCAAAGGAGCCUUCAACAAACUGCCACAGACGGGGGAGGGGGGGUGAGAGUGUUAGUCAAAGUCAGUUUUAUUGUCAAAUAUGCUGCAUCCAGAAGACAUACAGCACAGAGGAAAUUGCUUUCCUCUCACCCCACAGUGCGAGCAGCACAUAAAAUAAUAAAUAAACGACUUCAAAAUAGAUGAAGACAGUAAUAGUCAGAGGAAUAACAGCAGUCUAAACAGUGACAUGGUUAACAUCAGUGCGUGGGUGAGUCAGUGACGGCAGUCUUUGUGAUGAUGCUGUUCUGAACUGGGGUGAGGUUUUCAAUGUGAGCUAGUAGGAAGGAGUGGAGGGGCCAGAGGGGGGGGGGGCAGGGAGGGAGUUGAGGGUCCUUAUUGCCUGAUGGAGUCUGCUGGUUCUGGCCUGCAGACUUUGCAGCCCCCUCCCUGAAGCUGAGCGGACUCACCGGUUCAAAGCUGCUCCUGUUGGCCCUCAUGAAGUUGGCACAGUCCAGUCGGAUCUUCUGAUGGUAGUUCUGCGAGAAAUACAGCUGCACACGCACGUGCGCACGUACGUGCAUGGGUCACGAGUCAGUAAUCCUUCCCAAUGGUUACUUUUUAAAGUUUAAAGCAACUUAAAAGCUAUUCAAAACAAAAUCUAUGUAAGCUGAUGUCUGCGUCAUUCACAGACAUUUGAACAGAAUCCUGCGAGCCUGCAGGCCGCGAGCCACGCCGCCUCGAGCCACGCCGCCUCGAGCC
rnacentral:lncRNA from 1 species